rnacentral:rRNA from 1 species
GACGAACCGUGCGAACGUUAUUCGGAAUCACUGGGCUUAAAGCGCGUGUAGGCGGGCCGGCGCGUCGGCGUUGAAAUCCCCCGGCUCAACCGGGGAAGGGGCGCCGAUACGGCCGGCCUGGAGGGGCGUAGGGGGGUCCGGAACUUCCGGUGGAGCGGUGAAAUGCGUUGAGAUCGGAAGGAACGCCCGUGGCGAAAGCGGGGCCCUGGACGUCUGCUGACGCUGAGACGCGAAAGCCAGGGGAGCGAACGGG